ACCCGCUGAAGACGUGGCUGAUGACGCCCAUCCUGUUCCCAUGCGGGGCGGCCGAGGAGCGCUACAACGCGCUGCACCACCAGGCGCUGGCCGCCCUGCGCCAGACCCGCGCCCUCCUCAAGCGCCGCUUCCGCUGCCUGGACGCGGCGGGGGGCUGCCUGCAGUACGCCCCCCAGAAGGUCUGCCAGAUCUUCCUGGCCUGCUGCGUGCUCCACAACAUCGCCCUGCGCCGCCGCAUGCCCCUCGAGCCCCCCGAGGGCCCCGACCCCGACCCCGAGCCCGAGCUGCCGCUGCAGGCGCCCCACGUGCAGAUCUCCAGCGAGGCGCGGGCCGUGCGCGCCCGAAUCGUGCAGCAGGUGAAGGACAGCAUGGGCUGAGCCCGGGGGACGGGGGGGACAUUUUGCCCCCCCAAAAGGACUGGAUCGCGCGCAUUUAGGGGACGCGGAGCAUGCGGCGUCCCCCAAGGACAGCGAGCCCCAAGGGCUCAGCACAACGGGAGCCGGCGCCCUUCUACACCACUGAUUGGGGAUUUUGGGUGAAUAAAUGUAUUUUCCAGCACUGCCUGCUCCAGGGGGGGGAUCACAGCACCGCUCCCACAUCCUCACGUCCCACUCGUGCCCCCCAGGGACAUUUCGGCGCCCCGGUGCCGCAGCAUCGCCCCCAGAGCGCCGGCACGGCGGCCCUGCUGCAGCCGGUAGAGCAUCUCCACCACGUCCCGGCGCAUCUUCUCCUCGUAGGGCCGUCCCCGCAGCGUCACCUUGUCCCCAAAUUCCUCCCGCAGGCGCCGCAGCGCAGCCCGGAGCAGCCCCUCGCAGCCGGCCACGGCGGCACGCAGCCGCCCCCGGGCCAGCGCCUCGCCGGCACGCGCCGCGAAGGCUUUGGGGGCCCGGCAGAAGAAGCGGUUGGGGUCGGAGGCGCGCACCUCCAGCCCCUCCAGCCACGCCAGGAGCUGCUCCCGCUGCCGGAUGAGGCCGGCGGCCUCCUCCCACAGCUGCAGCGCCGCCGGCAGCCGCGCCAGGGCCGUGCCGUCGGCGUAUUUGGUGGCCAUGGCCAGGCGCUGGCGGCCGGGGACGAGCAGCGCGGCCCAGAGCUGCUGCAGGCGCUGCUGGAGCUGCUGCAGCCCCGCCGGUGUCACCGGCGUCCCCUCUGCCGGCUCUGCCGCGACCCGCGGGGCCUUCACCGCCUCCUCCUCCUCUUCCUCGCUGCCGCCGCCGAGGUUGAAGAUGGCGUGGAGGAAGUCAGAGCCGGUGCCCUCGAGGUACCGCAGGUAGUCCUGCAGCAGCGAGGCGUUUCGGGGCUCCCAGCGCCGUGCCGGGGCGGUGCCGCGUGCCGCAGCGCCCGUCCCCCGCAGCCCCUCGGGGUCAAGGUCACGGCCGGUGGCCGCCGGCUGCACCAGGGGCUCGUGCUCGAAGCGCAGCCGCUCUCCGGGCAGCGCCGCCGCCAGCCGCUGGUAGAGCGCCCGCAGCUCCUCGCCGGGCUCGGCCUCGGCCUCCGCCACCGCCACCUCCGCGGGCUCGGGGCAGAGCGGGGGCUGCAGCCGCAGCCACACCGCGCUCUCCGCCGGCUCCGGCCGCCGCAGGAGGCUGACACCAAGGGCCGGGGGGGGCGCGGGGAGGGUCCCCGGCUCCUGCGUUUGGUGGCGCCGCAGCCACCGCAGCCGCGCGUCGUCCUGGGGGCGGCGGGUGAGCGCCGCCAGCAGCGGUGGCAGCCGGGGGGCAUCGCUCGGUGCCCGCUGUGUCAGCCGCUGCAGAUCCAGCGCCGCCGCGGUGGUGCCGGGGGGCGGCAGCGCCGGCACGGAGAGGGGCUGGGGGGGCGGUGGGGGUGACGGUGAGACCCCCGGUUCCUCCACCCGGUGCUGGUGCUCUGUCUGUGCCGGCAGUGAGCGGGCUCGGUGCACCGCAGCGGUGCCGGGAUGGGGGG
rnacentral:lncRNA from 1 species